CUGUAAGCUGCUAUGAAGACAUCAUUUGCCUUGGUGAAUAGCUCCAUCUCAGAGGGCAUGUCUGCAGCAGUCCUCGAGGCUAUGAACUUAAAUGUGCCAGUCCUAGCCAGAAAUAUCCCAGGCAAUGCAAGCAUAG